rnacentral:rRNA from 1 species
UUAAUUACCGGUUCUCGUUAGAUCACCGAAGUCAAGCAUCAUUGGGCCGGUAUUAUUUAUUUGGGUGACCACCUGGGAACACCGCGUGCAGU